CGUAGGGUGCGAGCGUUAAUCGGAAUUACUGGGCGUAAAGUGUGCGCAGGUGGCCGCGCAAGUCGAGUGUGAAAUCCCCGAGCUUAACUUGGGAAUUGCGCUCGAACUACGUGGCUCGAGUGUGGCAGAGGAAGGUGGAAUUCCACGUGUAGCGGUGAAAUGCGUAGAGAUGUGGAGGAACACCGAUGGCGAAGGCAGCCUUCUGGGCCAACACUGACGCUCAUGCACGAAAGCGUGGGGAGCAAACAGGAUUAGAUACCCUGGUAGUCCACGCCCUAAACGAUGAUGACUAGUUGUUGGGGGAGUUAAAUCCCUUAGUAACGCAGCUAACGCGUGAAGUCAUCCGCCUGGGGAGUACGGUCGCAAGAUUA
rnacentral:rRNA from 1 species